rnacentral:rRNA from 1 species
UAAGUAGGUGGCAAGCGUUGUCCGGAAUUAUUGGGCGUAAAGCGCGCGCAGGCGGUUAUGUAAGUCUGAUGUUAAAGCCCGGGGCUCAACCUCGGUUCGCAUUGGAAACUGUGUAACUUGAGUGCAGAAGAGGAAAGUGGUAUUCCACGUGUAGCGGUGAAAUGCGUAGAGAUGUGGAGGAACACCAGUGGCGAAGGCGACUUUCUGGUCUGUAACUGACGCUGAGGCGCGAAAGAGUGGGGAGCAAACAGG